UACGUAGGGUCCGAGCGUUGUCCGGAAUUACUGGGCGUAAAGCGUGCGCAGGCGGUUCGUUAAGUCAGAUGUGAAAGCCCCGGGCUCAACCUGGGAAUGGCAUUGGAAACUGGCGGGCUUGAGUGUGGCAGAGGGGGGUGGAAUUCCGCGUGUAGCAGUGAAAUGCGUAGAGAUGCGGAGGAACACCGAUGGCGAAGGCAGCCCCCUGGGCUAACACUGACGCUCAGGCACGAAAGCGUGGGGAGCAAACAGG
rnacentral:rRNA from 1 species